CUUUGCUACGUACAGCAAGUUUGGGAAAAUCUGCACUAGACGGCCGUAACGUAGUGAACUAUGAUAGUAAGACAGACAAAGAAGGUACCACUGUAGUUAAUAUAACAUUGUAAAUGUACGAACACUAAGUUAGAACUACAGUUUGCUGAUGAUUAGAUUAAAGGAACAAUACAAAUUGCUUACAUCAGUUGUCUUUUCCGAUUCAGAAACAGGAGUAAUAGGAAUAUCUGUAGAAUCCUGCAUUGAACUUGUUUUAUUCGUGUCCAUCAUUUCACUCAUUUUUUUAAUUACUAUCUGUGCUUGAAGAGCAUCCUGAAUAUAAACAUUUAAUAUUAAUAAGUAUAAAUAUUAUUUUGUAUUUGAAUUUUUAAAUAUAAAAAAAGCAUUAAAAUAAUUACUUGUUCCAGAGAUUUCAAACGUGCUUGUCUCCAUGCCGCACGUUUUUCUGCUCUUAACGCUCUCUGUUCGGCAGGACUUAAAUGACUUUCUUCAUCUUCAUCCGAAAUUAUACCCUACGCAAUAAAAUAUUAUAUAAAUAUAUAAUAUUAAAAAAUAUAAAUAUAUUCAUAUUCUGAUGAACUAUUUUAAAAUCAUGAUGUCAUUUAAAGAAAUUAUUAAAAUUUCAAAAAAAUUAUUUCAUCUAGAACAAUGUAAAACAUAUAAUAUAUUGAAACAUUUGAAUGAUUAAAAA